UGCCUUCAGGAUGGGGACGAACAGACGGAAACGACUGCUAAUACCGAAUAAGUUCCAAGAGCCGCAUGGCCAUGGAGAAAAGGUGGCCUCUACCUGUAAGCUAUCGCCUGAAGAGGGGUUUGCGUCUGAUUAGCUGGUUGGAGGGGUAACGGCCCACCAAGGCGACGAUCAGUAGCCGGUCUGAGAGGAUGAACGGCCACACUGGAACUGAGACACGGUCCAGACUCCUACGGGAGGCAGCAUG
rnacentral:rRNA from 1 species